GGAGAGAUGCUAGAGUGGUUGAAUAGGACGGUCUCGAAAACCGUUGUGCCCUAUGGGUACCCUGGGUUCGAAUCCCAGUCUCUCCG
rnacentral:tRNA from 1 species